ACCCCACGCCCCGCCCCCCCGCCAUCCACGUCUACCACGCCUGCGACGCCGACCCCGAGCGCGCCGAGACCGCCCCGUGGGUGGAGCUGCUGUGCUUGGCCACCGCCUUCGCCCCUCCCCCCCUCCGCCUCACCUGGUUGGCCGACGGCCACGCCCUGGCCCCGCCCCCCGAGGUGGAACCGCCCGUACCGGACGUGACGUCGCCGGGGACCUUCCGGUUGAGCUCCCGGGUCAACGUCACCUUCCAGGAGUGGAGGGACCGGAGGUUCUCGUGCCGGGUCGACCACCCGGCCUCCGGCGCCGUCCAAGAGGUCGAGGCCCACAAGUGCCUUGUCCCCCCCUCCCCCUCCUCCCUCUACAUCUCCCAAACCCCCGUCCUGCUCUGCCUGGUCACCAACUUACCGAGCGACGACGGCCUGGCCGUCACCUGGACCCGGCGCGGCGGCGCCGAUGACGUCGCCAGGACCCCGCCGGAGCCCCUCCCCCUGAAGCUGAGCCCCCAGGCCAACGGCACCUUCACGGCGCGCAGCGAGCUGCCCAUCCGCACCGCCGACUGGGAGGGCGGGGCCGUCUUCGGCUGCACCGUGGCCCACGCCGAGCUGCCCUCCCCGCUGGCCAGGAGGGUGGCCAGGGCCCCUGGUCGCCGCCUCCCCCCCAGCAUCUUCCUCCUCCCCCCGCCCCAGGCCGAGCUCUCGGGCCCCUCCCCCACCCUCAGCCUGACCUGCCUCGUCCGGGGCUUCUACCCCCCAAAUUUGGAGGUCCAAUGGCAGAGGGGGGGGCUGUCCCUGCCCCCCGACCUGUGCUGGGCGGGGCCCGAGGGGGGUCCCUGGGACGUCCUGGGGGUCCUGGGGACCCUCUUCGUGCUCAGCGUCACCUACGGGGCCACCCUCACCCUCUGCAAG